rnacentral:rRNA from 1 species
GGAAUUUUGCGCAAUGGGGGAAACCCUGACGCAGCAAUACCGCGUGUGGGAUGAAGGCCUUCGGGUCGUAAACCACUUUUUUCGGGGACGAUAAUGACGGUACCCGAAGAAUAAGCCACGGCUAACUACGUGCCAGCAGCCGCGGUAAUACAUAGGGUGCAAGCGUUGUCCGGAAUUAUUGGGCGUAAAGAGCUCGUAGGCGGUUGAGUAAGUCGGGUGUGAAAACUCUGGGCUUAACCCGGAGACGCCAUCCGAUACUGCUCUGACUAGAGUUCAGGAGGGGAGUGGGGAAUUCCUAGUGUAGCGGUGAAAUGCGCAGAUAUUAGGAGGAACACCGGUGGCGAAGGCGCCACUCUGAACUGAAACUGACGCUGAGGAGCGAAAGCAUGGGUAGCAAACAGGAUUAGAUACCCUGGUAGUCCAUGCCGUAAACGGUGGGCACUAGGUGUGGGUUCCAACUAACGGGAUCCGCGCCGUCGCUAACGCAUUAAGUGCCCCGCCUGGGGAGUACGGUCGCAAGACUAAAACUCAAAGGAAUUGACGG